rnacentral:rRNA from 1 species
UACGUAGGGUGCAAGCGUUGUCCGGAAUUAUUGGGCGUAAAGAGCUCGUAGGCGGUUCGUCGCGUCGGCUGUGAAAUCCCGAGGCUCAACCUCGGGUCUGCAGUCGAUACGGGCGGACUGGAGUUCGGCAGGGGAGACGUGGAAUUCCGUGGUGUAGCGGUGAAAUGCGCAGAUAUCAGGAGGAACACCGGUGGCGAAGGCGGGACUCUGGGCCGAUACUGACGCUGAGGAGCGAAAGCGUGGGGAGCAAACAGGA